CUUCUCAUUUCAUUUCUUCUUUCUCUUUGUCUCUUCUCUGUACCCCAGAAGAAAGUAAACCUCACCCUUAAAUCAAUUUCAUUCAUACAGAAACCUAACUUCACCUCUUACCCGAAAGAUACUGAAAUCUUAAAAACUCAAUCGCAAAAUCCCAAAAUCAAUUUAUCUGAAAAACCGGAAUCUCGCCGGAGAAUUGAAGUUCGAGAGUUCAAUUGAAACCCUAAGAGUUGUAUAAAUUCACCUUUAACCCAGAAGGCUCAGCUUCAGCAUCAGAAUGGUGAAGAACAAUUUGAUGUGGGUUACCAAGGAAACCAAGACCAAAAAAUCCGUUCCAACUCCCAAGAGGAAGAUUAGCAAGGAAACCAAAAUUGUCCAGUCUAUCUCGUUACCAAAGAAUAAGUUGCAGAUCAUUUUGAAAAAAAAGUAGAGUUCGCAGCCUUCAAAGUCUGAAAUCAAAUAAAACAUUUAUAACAAGAAGUAGAUUUCAGAGCAACCUGCAAUCCAAUAAUAUCCAAGUCAUUCACCAAUUGAACGUGAAAAGACACCAAGAAGGACAUCACCUAGGUUUAAUAACAGGUCAUAGGAACGAGAUCAUACUGCUAAAAAGAGUACUCCAACACGAUCAUCACCUAGGAAAAGGAAAGUUUUAGUAGAACCGGAAAGCGCCACACAAUCUAAACCAGUCCAAUCCACAUCAGGAGCAUCUCAAAUUGCACGCUCCAAGUAAGUUAUUGAGAAGGGAAGGAAAGUGAAGUGGAAAUUGUACCAAUCAGGCCCAUAUCCGAAUGUCCAAAGAAGGAAUCCAAAUGAUACCUUUUCUGAUAUGGUUGAAGAAGAAGAAGAAUAUGAAGAUGAAGAGGAAGCAGAACCAUAAAAUACUGUUGCUACUGAAGAAAGGGAAGGUGAAGACAAUGAAAUGGAGAAUGAUAAAGAGAACGACAUCGCAGCAAAUGAAAAUGAAAAAGGAGAUGAGGUUGUACAAGGAGAAGAUAAGAGAAAGUGUGUUCCUCGUGGCCCAACACGGAUGGAUUCACUAGGGCUAACAGAGGGAAAAACAAAAACUCCAGACAAGGCCACUGUUAUCUGUAACAAUAAAGAUCAUCCCAUUGGUGACCCUUCUGUGCAACUUGCAAGUGUGUUGGGAGUUUUAGUUAGGCGAAACAUUCCAUUAACUUUCAAGGACUGGAUAGUGGUCCCUAAAGAAGCCAAAGCUAAUGUACGGAAGAUUGUCCAGAUGAGGUUCAUUGUUGAUGAUUUUUACAGAGAUUACUAUUAUGGGAAGAUGGGUUGUUAACUUGUUAUCUUAAGGAGGCUAGGUAUGGGAAAUCAGGUAAGAUACUAGCCUUUGAUGAGUUAGAAGAAGAAGAAAGAGAAAAGAGGAUAAAAUCACUUAAACCACAUAACAUGUCAGACAAUGAGUGGGAGGAGUUCGUUCAAACUAUUGGCUCGGAGGAAUUUAGAGCAAAAAGAUUCAAAAUACAGGAAAUUUGGCAGAAGCAUACCACCCCACACACGAUCAGUAGGGAAGGUUAUGCUCGUCUGGAGGCGAAAAUGUAAAAGGGGAGGAACACAACUGAAGAGACUGACAUAGUUGAAUAAUGGAUAACUGGUCAAAGCAAAAGGAAGGAAAGGAAGCAAAUCCAGGGGUUGUUGAGGCUUUUUUGAGGACCCAAGCGACUCAUUCUUUUUUUUUUAUGUGUUUGAAUGAUUGAAUUCAUAAAUGUGACUAAUUCUGUUUAAUACUAAUACAAGAGAAUAUAAGAGCUGAAGCAAAUGGUGGUGCUGAUGUUGGUGGAUCAUCUGUGAUAGAUGAUCUUCUUGUCAAUGCUCUUGGUGAUGACAAACCAGGUCGACUCAAAGGAAUAAGUUUUGGAGCGACAAAGACAAAGAUGGUUGUCAAGUCCCAUUAUAAGAAGACCAUUAACUAGUGUCGGGAAAGUAUGAAGGAAUUGAAUGGGAGAUUUAUGAUGUUAGAGGAAAGGAGCUCGAGAUGUGUCUGCUGCCAUGAUUGAUCACUGUUGCAAAAGGCCAGUCCAAAUUCUGGAAAUGCCAGUAACAACCAUGCUAGCGCCAUCAUUGUCCGUGAAAAUGACAUUCCAUUGAGCAGAACAAAUAUGGUGCCACAGCCAGUGGGAGUGCCACAGAAGAAUAGAGCUUGCAGGUUACUCAGUUGGUACAAUUAGGGCGAGAUUGUGGCUGAUGCAGUUAUUGCUGAAACAAAUCGAAAGAAGUUAAUCCAUGGAAUGCCAAUAGGUUUUGGAGCUUAUAGGGUAUCUGUGAAAGUUUCUCGUGUGGAUGAUGCUCUUCUCUACAUGCAAACCAAUGAGUUGAAGUGUAUCCAUGAUAAUAUGAUAUGAUAUGAACUUAAAUCUCAUGGUCCAAGGAUCUGAGAUUGCUUGACUAGCCAUCUGGCUUCUUAAUCUUCUUUGGGAGUGUUUCAGGAAACUUUCUUCUUUGUUUGCUCCUUUUUUUUAUCACUGGAUAUUUUGAAUGAUCGAAUGGUUUAGUGUUUGAAUGAUCUAAAACUGGUUAGGUGUUUGAGGGGUUGAAGUGUUUGAAUGAAUGCUGGUACAUUAUUUUAAUGGUGGAAUGGUUUAGUAUUUUAAUGAU